UACGGGGGGGGCAAGCGUUGUCCGGAUUUAUUGGGCGUAAAGAGCUCGUAGGCGGCUUGUUGCGUCGACCGUGAAAACCCGGGGCUCAACUUCGGGCUUGCGGUCGAUACGGGCGGGCUAGAGUUCGGUAGGGGAGACUGGAAUUCCUGGUGUAGCGGUGAAAUGCGCAGAUAUCAGGAGGAACACCGGUGGCGAAGGCGGGUCUCUGGGCCGAUACUGACGCUGAGGAGCGAAAGCGUGGGGAGCGAACAGG
rnacentral:rRNA from 1 species